UGGGGAAUAUUGGACAAUGGGGGCAACCCUGAUCCAGCAAUGCCGCGUGUGUGAAGAAGGUCUUCGGAUUGUAAAGCACUUUCGACGGGGACGAUGAUGACGGUACCCGUAGAAGAAGCCCCGGCUAACUUCGUGCCAGCAGCCGCGGUAAUACGAAGGGGGCUAGCGUUGCUCGGAAUGACUGGGCGUAAAGGGCGUGUAGGCGGUUUACACAGUCAGAUGUGAAAUCCCCGGGCUUAACCUGGGAGCUGCAUUUGAUACGUGUAGACUAGAGUGUGAGAGAGGGUUGUGGAAUUCCCAGUGUAGAGGUGAAGUAUC
rnacentral:rRNA from 1 species